AUGAACGCUGGCGGCGUGCCUAAUACAUGCAAGUCGAGCGAACGGACGAGAAGCUUGCUUCUCUGAUGUUAGCGGCGGACGGGUGAGUAACACGUGGAUAACCUACCUAUAAGACUGGGAUAACUUCGGGAAACCGGAGCUAAUCCCGGAAAAUAUUUUGAACCGCAUGGUUCAAAAGUGAAAGACGGUCUUGCUGUCACUUAUAGAUGGAUCCGCGCUGCAUUAGCUAGUUGGUAAGGUAACGGCUUACCAAGGCAACGAUGCAUAGCCGACCUGAGAGGGUGAUCGGCCACACUGGAACUGAGACACGGUCCAGACUCCUACGGGAGGCAGCAGUAGGGAAUCUUCCGCAAUGGGCGAAAGCCUGACGGAGCAACGCCGCGUGAGUGAUGAAGGUCUUCGGAUCGUAAAACUCUGUUAUUAGGGAAGAACAUAUGUGUAAGUAACUGUGCACAUCUUGACGGUACCUAAUCAGAAAGCCACGGCUAACUACGUG
rnacentral:rRNA from 1 species